rfam:Oryza brachyantha chromosome 2, whole genome shotgun sequence.
CCAAUUGAUCAAGAUGAUCUUAUUGCAUAUAUUAUUAAUGGUCUUGAUGCAGAUUUUGAUCCGGUCGUCGAAGCUCUCGUCGCCCAAGCUGAACUUGUCACAGUGACUGAGAUGUAUUCACAUAUCCUGAAUUUUGAGA